rnacentral:tRNA from 1 species
GGGUAGGUGGCAGAGCGGUCAAUUGCACCAGACUGUAAAUCUGGCCUCUAACGAGUUCGGGGGUUCGAAUCCCUCCCUACCCA